GACGAACGCUGGCGGCGUGCUUAACACAUGCAAGUCGAACGGACAGGCCCUGCUUUUGUGGGGUGCUCGAGUGGCGAACGGGUGAGUAACACGCGAGUAACCUGCCCUUGACUUUGGGAUAACUUCAGGAAACUGGGGCUAAUACCGGAUAGGAGCUCCUGCUGCAUGGUGGGGGUUGGAAAGUUUCGGCGGUUGGGGAUGGACUCGCGGCAUAUCAGCUUGUUGGUGGGGUAGUUGCUUACCAAGGCUUUGACGGGUAGCCGGCCUGCGAGGGUGACCGGCCACAUGGGGACUGAGGUACGGCCCAGUCGCCUACGGGAGGCAGCAGUGGAGAAUCUUACACAAUGGGCGGGAGCCUGAGGCAGCAACGCCGCGUGCGGGAUAACGGCCUUCGGGUUGUAAACCGCUUUCGCCUGAGACGUAGCGUGAGUGACGGUAAUUAGUAAAGAAGCACCGGCUAACUACGUG
rnacentral:rRNA from 1 species